rnacentral:rRNA from 1 species
CUACGGGGGGCAGCAGUAAGGAAUAUUGCGCAAUGGAGGCAACUCUGACGCAGCCAUGCCGCGUGCAGGAAGAAGGCCUUAUGGGUCGUAAACUGCUUUUAUUUAGGAAUAACCCCCUGCUCGUGAGCAGGGCUGAAGGUACUAAAAGAAUAAGCACCGGCUAACUGCGUGCCAGCAGCCGCGGUAAUACGGAGGGUGCAAGCGUUAUCCGGAUUUAUUGGGUUUAAAGGGUGCGCAGGCGGGCUAUUAAGUCAGUGGUGAAAUCCCGGGGCUCAACUCCGGAACUGCCAUUGAUACUGAUAGUCUUGAGUUUGGUUGAAGUGGGCGGAAUGUAGCAUGUAGCGGUGAAAUGCAUAGAUAUGCUACAGAACACCAAUCGCGAAGGCAGCUCACUAAGCCAAAACUGACGCUCAUGCACGAAAGCGUGGGGAGCAAACAGGAUUAGAUACCCCUGUAGUC